rnacentral:rRNA from 1 species
AUGGUGCACAAGGAGCUUCAGCAGGCAUGGUGGUUCGACAGCCACAACCUCGCCAGGACGUCCCCAUGGCUAGGCAGCACCCUUUCAGAACUGGAUGACAAGACCAAGCAAAUGCUCAAGCUGAUCGACCAAGACGCGGACUCGUUCGCUCAACGUGCUGAAAUGUAUUACAAGAAGCGCCCCGUCCUGGUGGACAUGCUCGGCGACCUGUACCGCACGCACCGCUCGCUUGCCGAGCAGUAUGACCUGCUGAAGCAUGGCAGCGGCACAUGCCGGUCCAAGUUCAAUCCAUCUCCCUGCACCAAGAGCUGGUCUCCGGGGUCCAUGGAUGGCAAGGCAACCAAGAGCUGGUCUUCAGGUUCCAUGGAUGGCAAGACAACAAGAAGCUCUUCCUCCAACUCACUGUGCUCAGACUCCUAUGACUCGGAGUCUGAAGUCGAUGACCCUGAAGAAGAGCAUGAUGAGAAGGUGUCUGACGCCGAAGCAGAGGCAGAGAAGCACCAGGCUGACCAAGAAGCAGAGCUCAUGCGCGCGGAGAUCAAGAGGCUCAGCGAGCAGAAUGCUGAGCUGCAGAAGGUGAUCGAGGAGAACAAGGCGGCUCACGAGGCGGAGCUCGCCGCGAAGGACGAGGAGAAGAGGGAGGUCAUCAGGCAGCUGGCGUCGUCCAUCGACAUGGUGAAGCAGGAGAACUACACCCUGCGGGAGCUCCUCAAGAGCCCCAACCCCAAGCACCACCCCGCCGCCGCGGCGCAGCCCCGCGGCUUCGAUCUCAGGAAGCUCACCAAGGACCUGUUCUCGGCGAAGCUGUUCACGGGCCAGCGCAAGCAUUCGGGUCCCAUGGUCGCUCUGUGA